rfam:Triticum aestivum genome assembly, contig: Triticum_aestivum_CS42_TGACv1_scaffold_145920_2BS
CUGAUACUCCCUCCGUCACGAAUUACUUGUCGCAGGUAUGGAGGUAUCUAGAUGUAUUUUAGUUCUAGAUACAUCCAUUUCUGCGACGAGUAAUUUGGGACGGAGGGAGUACUUU